rnacentral:rRNA from 1 species
UACGUAGGGUGCAAGCGUUGUCCGGAAUUAUUGGGCGUAAAGAGCUCGUAGGCGGCCAACUAAGUCGGACGUGAAAUCCCUCAGCUUAACUGGGGAACUGCGUCCGAUACUGGAUGGCUUGGAUUUGGGAGAGGGAUGCGGAAUUCCAGGUGUAGCGGUGAAAUGCGUAGAUAUCUGGAGGAACACCGGUGGCGAAGGCGGCAUCCUGGACCAAUAUUGACGCUGAGGAGCGAAAGCUAGGGGAGCAAACGGG